GUUUAAUAAAAAAAAAAAACGGCGCCCGAUCUCGUCUGAUCUCGGAAGCUAAGCGGGGCCGGGCUUGGUUAGUACUUGGUUGGGAGACUACCUGGGAUUACCAAGUGCUGUAAGCU
rnacentral:rRNA from 1 species